rnacentral:lncRNA from 1 species
CCCCGCCAUAUUCUGUAUUUUCCUGUCCUAAGUUAGAAGCCUGUGAUUCAGUGGUUUUUAUUGUUGUAAAUCAUAUUUUUUUUUCGUUUAUUUUUUUUUCUAGAUAAAUCAGGCCGUUAGCUUUCUAGUUUGAAUUGUUAACAUUUUCCAUUUCGGGACUUUUUAUAACUUGCUGUGUUUUUUUCAACGCUCAUUGUUAAAGGUUGUGAAUUUUGUUUAUUGUUCGUUUUUUGGUCAUGGUAUAUUGUUGCCACUGCACCUCUUUUGCUCAUUUAAUAAUAUUGAAAAUAAUUUGUUUUGAUUGAUGCAGUGUUUAAACAAAAACUACGAAGGUGUUAUAAUGACUUCUUUGCCCAAUAAAUAUCGCGUAAUUUAUCAACAGUAGCAGCUUGAACACACACAUAUAUGAAAUCAUAUUACAAAGAUUUGUCACUGCACACCUUUUCUUUGAAAUAGAUAUGCUGAGAUGACAAUCUAUAAAUUUGUUAUUGCACCUUCGUGUGUAUGAGUCAGUAACCUAUCAAACAAACUCGUUG